rnacentral:rRNA from 1 species
GUUGAACGCUGGCGGCAUGCUUUACACAUGCAAGUCGAACGGUAACAGGCCUUCGGGUGCUGACGAGUGGCGAACGGGUGAGUAAUGCAUCGGAACGUGCCCAAUCGUGGGGGAUAACGUAGCGAAAGUUACGCUAAUACCGCAUAAGCCCUGAGGGGGAAAGUGGGGACCGCAAGGCCUCACGCGAAUGGAGCGGCCGAUGUCAGAUUAGCUAGUUGGUGGGGUAAAGGCCCACCAAGGCGACGAUCUGUAGCGGGUCUGAGAGGAUGAUCCGCCACACUGGAACUGAGACACGGUCCAGACUCCUACGGGAGGCAGCAGUGGGGAAUUUUGGACAAUGGGCGCAAGCCUGAUCCAGCCAUGCCGCGUGAGUGAAGAAGGCCU